AACUUUUGGCAACGGAUCACUUGGCUCUCGCAUCGAUGAAGAACGCAGCGAAAUGCGAUACGUAAUGUGAAUUGCAGAAUUCGGUGAAUCAUCGAAUCUUUGAACGCACCUUGCGCCCUUUGGUAUUCCGAGGGGCACACCCGUUUGAGUGUCGUGACAUUCUCAAAACCUUCUCGGUUUCUCGACCGGGAAGGCUUUGGACUUUGGAGGCUUUUGCUGGCAUUCCUUUGUUGGAGCCAGCUCCUCUGAAAUGAAUUAGUGGGGUCUGCUUUGCCGAUCCUUGACGUGAUAAGAUGUUUUCUACGUCUUGGGUUUUAGCACUCCUGCUUCUAACCGUCUCACAGUAGACAAAUGGUCCACUCGACCCACAAACCUUGACCUCAAAUCAGGUAGGACUACCCGCUGAACUUAAGCAUAUCAAUAAGCGGAGGCU
rnacentral:misc_RNA from 1 species